rnacentral:lncRNA from 1 species
CCCAAGAGAACUGAAAGCAGGGACUAUGCCUUGCACCUCAAGGUUCAUAUCAGCAUUUUUCACAACAGCACACAGAUGGAAACAAUGGAAGUGUCCACCAGCUGGUCAGUCUAUGAAUGAAAUGUGGUGUGCCUGUCUACAAUAGAAUAUUAAUCACCCUUCGAAUGAAUGAAACUAUGACACGUGCUACAAUAUGCAAGGACCUUGAAGACAUGCUAAAUGAAAUUAAGUCUGGGGGUGGGGAGGAUGGAGCAUUAUUGUUCAAUGGGUACUGAGUUUCUAUCUGGGGCAUAGAAGUUUUGGAGAUGGAUGGUGGUGAUGGUUGCACAGCAAUGUGAAUAUGCUGAAUACCACUGAGUUUUGCACUUAAAAAAUCAUUGGAAUGGGUGAAAGGACGAGUUUUGUGUUAUAUGUAUUUUAUCAUUGGAAAAAAAAAAAAGCCAGUGGAAGAUAGAUCAAACAGAAGCAGUGACAAGCUCACUCUUAGAUGUUAACUAAGAUGUUAGAGGUUUAAAAUAGAUUGAGUGGUAUGUGGAGACCAAGGAUCACGCCAGGUUUCUGAGGCACCUGCCAGCCCUCUAAUUCCACAUGCCUCACUGUCACCUCCAGGGCAGACCUAGCAGACACUGUCAGAGGAGGAAAGGGCUGGAACCUCUGAGUUGGGCAGAGCUGGGUGGGAGAUAAAACCUGUGCCGAGUCCCUGCUGCUCCAGUAUACCAGCCACACAGGCUGGGAAAAGAACCACUUGCCCCUGCUGUCACUUCUAGGGGCUGGUGUGGCUCUCAGGGAGAGGAGGUCAGCCAGGCCACUGAGCCUAGAAAGUAUGGUGAGGGUGGCAGGAUCCCUGGCUGCAGAAGUGGAUCUCCAAGGCCUCACACCCACUUCCUUGGAUGCCCUCAGUGUGUCAGCUCCUAUGGCGGCCCUCAGGAAGCACCAGAGACUUUGAGUCCUCGAAGAGCCCUGCAGGCCCUUUCUAUGUCUCAGUUCCCAGGUGUGGAAGAGCUUGCUAAGCCCCACGCGGUGCCCUUUUCCACUUCAGCCUCCACCGUCAGAACAGGCCCCAAGUCUCUUGCUGCCAGGGUCCCUUGACACAAGGACAGGUUUCUUUGGUCAAGGUAUGAACAAGAUGAUUUUGCUGCCAGUUUUCCUUCACGGGGUCUUCUGGACCAGGGGAAUCCCACAUGUCCUUACCACUUCAAACUGAGUGGGAGGACUGUGUGCCCCAGCGCCUCCCUUGUUUUGCCCUGACAUCUUUCUCCUGUUGAUGCGGGCACAGGAUAGAAUGUCCGCGCUCUGAGCAGCAUCUGAAGAGAGAAAGGACUGCCAGCAGGACUGGCCACUCCGUUUGCAGGGCCCAGCCCAGAAUUGUUUAACAGAUAUUAAAAACGUCAAGAUGGUGACAGAGGAGAAGUAAACCAAGUGUGGGGCCAUUCUGUGCGAGUGCAUAGCUCACCUGCCUGUGAAGCUGGCCCUGAAUCCAGGCCCCCUCCUUCCCAGCCCGCCAUGCUAGAGGGUUUUUCUGGGGCCUUCCUUCUCCUUGGCCAGAGGGAAGGAAAGCCUCUCUUUCCCACCCUUGACUCGUCUCACUCCACAGGAGCUCUACCACCCAGGGACUGUCCCUCCCCUCACUCCAGUCAUCUCCUUGAAUGGGCUGAGGAUCCCACCAGGCAUGGUGACUGGGGGCUGUAGGGCCACUUGAGCAGUCUCUUGAGUGCACUCUCAGGGUGGCUGUGUUUACAAUGUGGGUGGACUAACACCUCAUAUUCUUUAGUGGAACUGCACUCACAAAUCUAGGUCAACAAGAAAAGUCUCCUCAAUGUCCUUAGCGUCACAGUGCUGGGACUUCCCAGGCCUAGCCACCAUCAAUUCAUCCAGGGCAGGGCGCCUGGGCAGGCAGGGUCAAAGGAGCCCCUCAGUGGGAUUCUGAAAUUUGAAUCCAAGAGAGUUGUCUGCCUCUUUCUCAUGGCUGAAACUGAGGCUCUCAUGCUUGGUUGCUGGUGGCUGGGUAUUACCCACACCAGGCUGAAGUCGGAAGGAGGCCAGUCUGCAGAAAAAGGGAGAGACAGAGAGAGGGAGAGACAGAGAGAGAGGGUGAGAGAAGGAGAGAGACAGAGACGGGAAGACAGGAGUGGGAGAGAAAGCAGGAGAAGGCAGCUGGUGACCUGCUUCUGGCUCAGCUGCCCUAGUUUUAUCCCGUCCAGGGUCCUGUACUCCAGUACUUUUAUGAUGAGUUCCCCUUUAAGCUUUGGGAAGUUCAGUUUCCAUCAUUUUCCCUGAAGAGUCCAGACUAACACGACUCCACACUGACGAGUGGUGGUUCCCCAUCACUCACUAAGAGUCUGACCUGCUUGGCCAUGAUUUCCUUGUAACUGGAGGAAAUAAAAGAAGAGGAACCCAGAAGAAGACAGGGCCUGUGUGGGAAAGAGAGUGGCCUCAAGGUUAGGGGUGCUGGAAACCCUCUAGGGUUCUGUAGGCCAUCAGGACUUAAAAAGUUACCGUGGCUUACUGAUACCUCAAAUUAUUUCACUUGUAAAAUGGAGACACUCUACUCAGUUUGGUAGUUCUGUGUUUUUAGCUAAACCGUAGUCUGCCUUUGCCAGUCUGGCUCAGACGUCAACCCUCUGUUUGGGCUGAUUGGCUUAUGCUGGCCAGAGUCACAUAAACUCUGCCCCACCUUGUCUUCAGAGGAUUUAGUGUAGCUUUUGAAUUUAUUCUUUCAACAGUACCAAGAGCUCUGGUAGCAGGCACGGUGCUGGGCUCCGUAGAUACUAUGGUGAAUAAGAGAGGCGCAUUUCCUACCCUUAUGGAGCUUACGGCUUGGCAAAUGAAUCAGACUCUAAGCAACUCAUCACACAAACAAUAUAUUAAUGAGCAUGGUAAUAACUGCUGAAAAGGAGUUAUUCCAGGGAUAUGAGGUUCUGUAAUAGGAAUCCUAACCAGCUGGAUUUUCUUUUUUUGCUUUCUCCAAAUUCCAAAGCCCUCCAUCUUUUCUGUGAGGUCUCCAGACAGUUACUACUGCUAUCAUCACCAUUAUUCCAGAGACAUAGACAUUCUCAUUCACUCUACCAACUGCUAUCCCCAGAGGCCCAGUUUGCACCAUCUUCAAGCUGUGCUUCCAGUACUAGCCACGUGUAUAGAUCACGUGAAAUAUAGCUGGUUCAACUGAGGAUCUGACGUUUUAAUACAAUUUAAUUUAACAUAAAUUUAAAAAUAGAGGCAGUAGAACAUAUUUUUCCAUUAAACACACUUUAUUAUUUUGUUAGGGCCACAAUUUCACUUUAUCUGUUGAAUUUAGUGUUGACCUGCGCUAGUAUGUUUAUUGCAGCACUAUCUAUAGUAGCAAAGACAUGAAAUCAACCCAGAUACCCAACAACAGUGGAUUGUAUAGAGAAAAUGUGGUACAUAUACACCAUGGAAUAUGAUGCAGCCAUAAAAAAGAACAAAAUUAUAUCCCCUGCAGCAACAUGGAUGCAGCUGGAGGCUAUUAUGCUAAGCAAACUAAGGCAGGAACAGAAAACCAAAUACCACAUGUUUUCACUUAUAAGUUGGACCUUAAGCAUUGGGUAUACACAGACACAAAGAUGGGAACAAUAAACACUGGAGAUUCCAAGAGGUGGGACCAGAGGCAGGGAAGGGUUGAAAAACUACCUGUGGGGCACUGUGUUCACUAUUUGGGCUAUGGAAUCAUUAGAAGCCCAAACCUCAGCAUCAUGUAAUAUACCCAUAUAACAAACCCGCACAUGAGUAUAUUAAAAAUACUAAAAUUAAAAAUAUAAAUUUAGAAUACUAAUGAUAAUUCUAAUGAAUAAAAUAAGAAAAAUA